AACUGGUAAUUAAAAAACUAAUCAACAACAACAACCAACACAAGUGGACCUUCAACUCCUCUACUAACUUCACCACUAUGUGCCGAAAACAUACAUUGGACAUCUUCAUCAUUUUCUAUACGAUCCAGGUAAUACAUGUACGUACCAUCGGGGCUUGCAUCAGUCAACGUUAUGUAUGGACAACGAUACUCUACUUUCCUCACCUUCAUACGACGCCCGCCCAACUGUCGGAAGCCAGUGUGGAUGGCAGAAAUCAGUGUUCUGAAAUUCCAUUGCGGAUCAAGGCAAACACUCAUUUUUUCACCGUGUCCAUAAAAUACAAGACCACAAACAGACAUUAUGAACUAAAGAAAGGAUUUGGUGGUGUGAGUUUCAUUUCUACCAGUUCUACUACUUAUACAAAAAUUAAUAAGUGAAUACUCGGCAAAUCAUUGGCCGAGACAGUGAAAACAAAAAAACUUUUUAGCGGGAAAAAUAUCAUUCCCAAAAAAAGAUUUACAUUAUGGAGGGAAAAAUAACAAUUUUAUUAUUAAUAUAUAAAACACCAACUAUUUCUAUUAUUAAUAUUCUAAAAAUUAUUCAUUUUUAU
rnacentral:lncRNA from 1 species